rnacentral:rRNA from 1 species
GACAGAGGUGCCAAGCGUUAGGCGGAAUCACUGGGCUUAAAGCGUGUGUAGGCGGAUCGGUAAGUACCUUGUGAAAUCCCACAGCUUAACUGUGGAACUGCUUGGUAUACUGCCAGUCUUGAGCCACUUAGGGGCUACCGGAACAAAUGGUGGAGCGGUGAAAUGCGUAGAUAUCAUUUGGAACGCCAAUGGUGAAAACAGGUAGCUGGGAGUGUGCUGACGCUGAGACACGAGAGCCAGGGGAGCAAACGGG